rnacentral:tRNA from 1 species
GUCCGGAUGGUGGAAUCGGUAGACACAAGGGAUUUAAAAUCCCUCGGCGUUCGCGCUGUGCGGGUUCAAGUCCCGCUCCGGGUACCA